rnacentral:rRNA from 1 species
GGGGUAAAGGCCCACCAAGGCAACGAUCCGUAGCGGGUCUGAGAGGAUGAUCCGCCACACUGGGACUGAGACACGGCCCAGACUCCUACGGGAGGCAGCAGUGGGGAAUUUUGGACAAUGGGGGCAACCCUGAUCCAGCCAUGCCGCGUGAGUGAAGAAGGCCUUCGGGUUGUAAAGCUCUUUCGGCUGGGAAGAAAUCGCAUCUCCUAAUACGGGGUGUGGAUGACGGUACCAGCAUAAGAAGCACCGGCUAACUACGUGCCAGCAGCCGCGGUAAUACGUAGGGUGCGAGCGUUAAUCGGAAUUACUGGGCGUAAAGCGUGCGCAGGCGGUUUCGUAAGACAGAGGUGAAAUCCCCGGGGCUCAACCUGGGAACUGCCUUUGUGACUGCGAGGCUAGAGUAUGGCAGAGGGGGUGGAAUUCCACGUGUAGCAGUGAAAUGCGUAGAGAUGUGGAGGAACACCGAUGGCGAAGGCAGCCCCCUGGGCCAAUACUGACGCUCAUGCACGAAAGCGUGGG